CACGUAGGGUGCGAGCGUUGUCCGGAAUUAUUGGGCGUAAAGAGCUCGUAGGCGGUGUGUCGCGUCGGCCGUGAAAACCUGCAGCUUAACUGUGGGCUUGCGGUCGAUACGGGCAUCACUGGAGUUCGGCAGGGGAGACUGGAAUUCCUGGUGUAGCGGUGAAAUGCGCAGAUAUCAGGAAGAACACCUAUGGCGAAGGCAGCUCUCUGGGACGGUACUGACGCUGAGACGCGAAAGCGUGGGGAGCGAACAGG
rnacentral:rRNA from 1 species